rnacentral:rRNA from 1 species
GAUGAACGCUGGCGGCGUGCUUAACACAUGCCAGUCGAACGAAGAGGCCCAGCUUUUUGGGUGGAUUCGUGGGGAGCGGGUGAGUGACACACGAGUAACCUGCCCUCAUCUCUGGGUUAAGCCUUGUAGACUGGGUGUAGUACAGGAUAGAAGAGUUCAUGACACGGUGGGUGUUGUAGAGAUUUAGGGGUUUUGGGUGGACUCUCGGUUUAUCAGCUCGUUGGUGAGGUAUUGGUUGACGAAGGGGAUGACGGGUAGACGGCCUGAGAGGGGGACCGGCGACAAUGGGACUGAGAGACGGCCCAGACUCCUACGGGAGGCAGCAGGGGGGAAUAUUGCACAACGGGCGCAAGCCUGAUGCAGCGACGCCGCGUGCGGGAUGACGGCCUUCGGGUUGUAAACCUCUUUCAGUGGGGAAGAAGCGAAAGUGACGGUACCUGCAGAAGAAGCACCGGCUAACUACGUG